rfam:Streptosporangium subroseum strain CGMCC 4.2132 genome assembly, contig: Ga0079903_1025
UGACACCGUGCGGGAGAGACCCCGACAAGAUCGGGGCGCCGAAGGAGCAACCUCCCCGGAAUCUCUCAGGCACCAUGUACCGCGCGGACGAG